GACGUAGGGCGCGAGCGUUGUCCGGAUUUAUUGGGCGUAAAGAGCUCGUAGGCGGCUUGUCGCGUCGUCCGUGAAAACCCACAGCUCAACUGUGGGCUUGCGGUCGAUACGGGCAGGCUAGAGUUCGGUAGGGGAGACUGGAAUUCCUGGUGUAGCGGUGAAAUGCGCAGAUAUCAGGAGGAACACCGGUGCCGAAGGCGGGUCUCUGGGCCGAUACUGACGCUGAGGAGCGAAAGCGUGGGGAGCGAACAGG
rnacentral:rRNA from 1 species